rnacentral:rRNA from 1 species
UACGGAGGGGGCUAGCGUUGUUCGGAAUUACUGGGCGUAAAGCGCGCGUAGGCGGCUUUGUAAGUUAGAGGUGAAAGCCCGGAGCUCAACUCCGGAAUUGCCUUUAAGACUGCAUCGCUAGAAUCAUGGAGAGGUUAGUGGAAUUCCGAGUGUAGAGGUGAAAUUCGUAGAUAUUCGCAAGAACACCAGUGGCGAAGGCGGCUCACUGGCCCGAUACUGACGCUGAGGCACGAAAGCGUGGGGAGCGAACAGG